GCCUGGGUGGCUCAGUGGGUUAAAGCCUCUGCCUUCUGCUCAGGUCAUGAUCCCAGGGUCCUGGGAUCAAGCCCCACCUCGGGCU
rfam:Mustela putorius furo unplaced genomic scaffold scaffold00140, whole genome shotgun sequence.